rnacentral:rRNA from 1 species
AGGUGGUGCAUGGUUGUCGUCAGCUCGUGUCGUGAGAUGUUGGGUUAAGUCCCGCAACGAGCGCAACCCCUAUUGUUAGUUGCCAUCAUUCAGUUGGGCACUCUAGCGAGACUGCCGGUAAUAAACCGGAGGAAGUGGGGAUGACGUCAAAUCAUCAUGCCCCUUAUGACCUGGGCUACACACGUGCUACAAUGGUUGGUACGACGAGUUGCGAGUCGGUGACGGCGAGCUAAUCUCUUAAAGCCAAAUCUCAGUUCGGAUUGUAGGCUGCAACUCGCCUACAUGAAGUCGGAAUCGCUAGUAAUCGCGGAUCAGCACGCCGCGGUGAAUACGUUCCCGGGCCUU